rnacentral:tRNA from 1 species
GGAGAGAUGGCUGAGCUGGCUUAAGGCGCACGCUUGGAAAGCGUGUGUGGGUUUAUAGCCCACCCAGGGUUCGAAUCCCUGUCUCUCCGCCA